rnacentral:rRNA from 1 species
UGACCUACGGGGCGCAGCAGUGGGGAAUAUUGGACAAUGGGGGGAACCCUGAUCCAGCGACGCCGCGUGAGUGAAGAAGUAUUUUGGUAUGUAAAGCUCUAUCAGCAGGGAAGAAAGAAAUGACGGUACCUGACUAAGAAGCCCCGGCUAACUACGUGCCAGCAGCCGCGGUAGUACGUAGGGGGCAAGCGUUAUCCGGAUUUACUGGGUGUAAAGGGGGCGCAGACGGCAGCGCAAGCCAGGAGUGAAAGCCCGGGGCCCAACCCCGGGACUGCUCUUGGAACUGCGCGGCUGGAGUGCAGGAG